UCAUACUCCACAUCAACACUGAGUUCAUCCAUUGGCUCAUUCUGAACUGCUGCUGAGAAGAGAAGUACUGUCACACUGACAGACUGACAAACUUCAGCUAGUUCCUCCUGUUGAUUGAAUCCUUGUUGUAGAGAUGGAGCGUUGGCUGUGGAUCAUUCUGGCUGCUCUUUUCUUUGGGUGUAAAGGAGAAGAGAGAGCGACCCAGCCAUCAGGAGAGGUCGUUGCUACUGAAGGAGACAACGUCACACUUGAAUGUUCAUUUGAGACCUCUAGUGGGAGUCCAACUUUGUUCUGGUACAAACAAAAAGUUGGUGAUUUCCCAAAGUACAUGCUGAGAUGUUUCUCAGAAAACACAGAAUUUGCUCCUGGGAUCGACAAAGACAGAUUUAAUGCUGCAAUCAAGGAGAAAUCAGUUCCUCUGAAGAUCCAGAAGCUUCAGCUGACUGACUCUGCUGUGUACUACUGUGCUCUGAGGCCCACAGUGACAGGAAACACCAACACUCUGUACAAAAACCUUUGGAGCAAACACAACACAAUACUCCACAACAUCCACUAG